rnacentral:rRNA from 1 species
CCUACGGGCGGCAGCAGUGAGGAAUAUUGGUCAAUGGGCGCGAACCUGAACCAGCCAAGCAGCGUGAAGGAUGACUGCCCUACGGGUUGUAAACUUCUUUUAUAAAGGAAUAAAGUGAGGCACGUGUGCCUUUUUGUAUGUACUUUAUGAAUAAGGAUCGGCUAACUCCGUGCCAGCAGCCGCGGUAAUACGGAGGAUCCGAGCGUUAUCCGGAUUUAUUGGGUUUAAAGGGGGCUAAGAGGGGUUGUUAAGUCAGUUGUGAAAGUUUGGGGCUCAACCGUAAAAUUGCAAUUGAUACUGGCAGCCUUGAGUACAGUUGAGGUAGGCGGAAUGCGUGGUGUAGCGGUGAAAUGCUUAGAUAUCACGAAGAACUCCGAUUGCGAAGGCAGCUUACUAAACUGCCACUGACAUUGAGGCUCGAAAGUGUGGGUAUCAAACAGGAUUAGAUACCCCUGUAGUC